AGGUAACAUCAUCAGAUGAGGAAGAGAAGAAUAGCAAGUAAGUGAAAGUUAUGAGAGGCAACUGUAAUGGCAGUGGCGGCGGUGUAUCAAUAAUUCAUGGCCAUCGUCGUCGUUAAUUAGUAACAAAAGGAACUGAUUUCAAAUGAGGAGAAUUAGCUUUGAAGUGAAUGAUUGGUAGUUGGAGGAUGAAGUGGCGGAGAAUAGUCCGAGAGGGACGUGCAGGUGGUUGGUGGUGAUGGUGGUUAGGAAUUAUCUUCCCAGAAAUUUGCCUCGACAAUGAAUAAGGACUAUAAGGAAGAAAAUUCCCCUUAAUGACGUGGAUGAAUUAUAGGUCUGAUGCCACAUAAGCUAAUAUAUAUUAUUUUUUUUAUUUUUUUAAAUGACGUGUAAAUAUAAAUUCGUCAAAAAUUAUACGCUGUUUGUUGUCUGUUAACUCGCUGUUAAAUAGGGACUAACUUAUAACCUUUUCGAAAGUGCAGGGAAGAAUUUUACACUUUUUUAGUACAGGGACCCAUUCUGAAAAAAGUGAUAAUGCAGGGAUCUAUAUAUGCGUUUGGCCUUUCUUGUACUCCUUGUGUUGUCAUUCAAUUCUUAACCAGAAGAAGCAAGCAUGGCUCAUCAUGCCGCUGUCUUCCCUAGGCCUGCUCCUCCACACUACAACAUAACAGAUAUAUGAGGGCGGUUUUGUAGGCGCGGUUCCAUAAAAAGCCCCUAUAUUUUAUCAUUUAAAAACUAAGCCGUUCAUUGUUUUGUGUUGUAGGGGCGGUUGAAUAAGUAUAGGGGCGGAUAUUUAAAAAAAAGACCUAACCCUAAUAGAAACAAUUUAUUUUAAUUCUUCUCUCUCUUCUUUUUCGUCGGCCUCUCAUUCUCUCAACUCAAACACAGUAGCAAUGGGGUGACCUAGAAGCUGAUUCACUUGACUCCAAUGGCGAUCCUGGAUUAUCGAUGAUCUCAUAAUCCUUUAUUUUUGAGAACUAGUAGCUGAAUCUCUCACUUCACUUAGGUUUUUAGAUUUUUGAUUAUUUCACUUCACUCGAGCAGCUGAAUCGCUCUCUUAGGAAUCGUCGGCCUCUCAUCUUCGCGAACCUUGAUUAUCGAUGUUUGUUGCUGUUUGGUUGCUAAUUGCUGGUUUAUUAUCACUGCAAUAUUUGCUGUGAAGAAGGUGACCGGUGUUUGUUUUUGCUAGGGUUUUGUUAUCUUCUCUUUACGCCGGAGGAACCAUUCUUCCACUAAUUUCACAAAGAGUUAGGUUCUCGGCAUCUGUUAGCAUUGGGUUGGAGCUGCUGACUCCUACAUUUCCUUAACAGUUUUUGCUUCUUGCAGCUAUUUCCAACUUUGCAAAACAAAUACUCAGCUACUACUAGAGUUUAUUGAUAUCGAGAAAAGAAAACGGCGUUGACAAACUCGCCUAAAUCCAAAUGACUUGGAAGUAUUGAUAAAUGAAAAAUUUCAUGUCUGGCUCCAAAGCAAGGUUAUAGGUCUAGCGCGUGACUUGAAUAUCUCGAAGACCCGUGAAGAGCAAAGAUUGACCCAAAAUAGCGGUGUAGUUAACAAAUUUGAAGGAGGGGGUGUGGAGUACUUCGGAAAACUAAGAGAUAUUAUUGAACUAAAUUACUAUGGGAGUUUCAAGGUGGUGUUAUUAAUAUGUGGUUGGAUUGAUGUUCAUCAUAGUGCUGGAAUGAAAAAAGAUGAAUAUGGGUAUACAUUAGUUAACUUCUCUCGGUUAAUUCAUACGGGUGACAAUGUAGCUGAUGAUCCGUAUAUUUUUUCCUCUCAAGCUGAUCAAGUGUUCUAUGUGGAAGAUCCAAGUAAUCUGAAUUGGCAUGUGGUUAUUAAAAUUAAACUCAGAGAUGCAUUUGAUAUGGGCCACGAAGAAGGAGAUGAUCAUUCUUUUACUUCUGUUAGUAGGCAGAUUUUAUGUGAACAAAUGCAACCUGAUUGGGUUAGGGUUGAUGUAAACAAUGACGAUUUGUAGUUCAGACCUCCUUUUGAACUGAAUAUUAUUUGAUGCGAUAGGAGAAAUUCUUGAUUUCUCCCGAGACAAAAGGUUGGGUUCUUGAAUCAGUGGGUAAAAAAUGGAGGGAUUACAAAUCUGAUCUGAAGUUACAGUAUUAUAGCCGAGAUAAACCUAAGGAACAAGUCAAAACAAAUGUUCCGAAAGGGGUUGAAAUAACUCAAUGGCGUAUUUUGGUCAAUGGAUGGUACACUGAGAGAAGUCAGAGAUUGAGCCGGAUAAAUACUGCCAAUGCAAAUAAGAAGAAAAACAAACAAACUACUGGAAGAAAAAGUUAUGCAAGACUUAGAAAAGAAAUGGAAAUACAAAGUGGAGUGGCCCCUGAUCGACUUACUUUUUUUGAAACGACCCAUAGAAAGAAGGAUGGCACAUAUGUUGAUGAUAAUAGCAAAGAGCUUAUGGUACAUACUUCUUUCUAUUGCUUCGUUAUUUUUGAAAUUAGUCUGUUAUUUCAAAUGAUAUGUUGAUGACAAUAGCAAAUGAUAUGUUUCUGCUGUUAAAAUAAACAAAUUGCUUUAGAUAUGAAAUCUGUACUAAAACUCUGAUUUAGGUAGCCAAAAGUAAGUAGGAACAGACAAAAUGAAUCUUAGUUAGUAAAAUAGGCUCUUGUUUUCUCAUGGCAAAACUGGAGAGUGUAGCCUACAGCAGUAAUCAAAUUUCAAAACUCAGAGAAUUACAAUCAUAAAAUAUCAUUUAAUAUGAACAUCAUGAAGCCAUAAGCAUACAGAGUGCGUGUAAUUGCAAAAUAAAAUGACACUGCAAAGAUGGCAAGAUGAUUCGGUGUGCACAAGUAUAAUAAGUACAAUAAUCAAAGUUUUUAUAUCAUUUUCUCUAUCAGAAAACUUUUUUGAAUGACUUGUUUUCAGUGACUCGUCUUUUUGUCCCAUUUUUUCUCAUUUGAUUAUCAGAUAUAAAAAACCGCCCCCAUAAAUGGAGCAAACCAUUUUGGAGAUUUGUAUGUCUUAUUGUCCACCUCAGAUCUAAAAGAUAUUAAUCCCAACAGUUGUAGUGCAGUUACCUACAAGCAAACAAAACCGCCCCCAUAAAGCUGUUUUGUUGUAGUGCAGUUACCUCCUCAUUUUCAUCUUCCCCGUCUUCUCUUUCUUUUAAUCCCAACAGUUGGAGUUUUUGCUCGCAUAACUGUCUGCUGCGUCUGAAUAAACGUAAUGCCCAUACAUGGAGACAUUCCAUGUUUGUCAGCACAAAAAUUGUCCUCCAAAAUGAGGCUCUCGCUUUCAUUGAAAAACCAAUUGUGACUCAAGUUCCUGACAGUGUUCUUGUUUUGCCAUUCUCGAUUGACAUGUUAUUUGGUUUUUGAUAUGGUUAUUGCAUUAGUGAAACAGCAUGUGAUAAGGAGUGCGACGCCCCUGUUUCAAGAGUGUGCUAGCUUUCAGCAAGGCAAAAGUUUAGCUGAAAAUCUUGGAUUUCCACCAAGUGGUUUACAAUGGAAAGGAAAUAAAGUAAUCUCCAGAAGACAACUCCAAGCACAAGCUAAUGCAAUACAAGCUGGAACAACACAGUAAUUGAAGAAUUGAAACUUUGUAUUGAUAUGUAUCUAUUGUAUCUUUGACGUCUUUUGCUUUAAUAUACGAUUGGCGUUUGCACUUUAACCACUUCUUUUGAUGAAACGGUGACGAUGUUAUUGUCGACAACUUUUUAGUAAUUGAAAUAAGAAAUUUGAUUUGAUAUGCA